GAGAAAGAGAUAGAUAGUAGUGUGGGAUGGAGAGAGAGAUCAGUGUGUGAAUGAGAGAGAGACAGAGUGUGGUGAUGGCAGACCCGUGUGUGUGUGUGAUUUUGUCAAUUCGCCACCUGCCUUCUUGACACGACACGAGCGAACGGCGAUGCGAGGCGCUUUGCUCUUCACCUUGCGGUGGACAGCUCCGUCAGCCCCCUCCGUCUCACCGCACACCCACGCGGUUGUCUUUGUCGAAUACAAAGGGGAUCCCGUCCCAGACCACGUGGCUUCUGACGACCGCGUGGCUUCGCGUGGCUCCGCGUGGCUCCGACCGACCUCCGUGCGAAACGGCUCAACGAGGAGGUUCAUUGUGAGACAUCGCGCAGCCAGGGCAGAGCAUGUGACGCCCACCACCUCGUGACAAGUGCGGGCUACCCGGGGCCCCCUCGGGGCGGCACUCGAAAUAUGAAAGUGAUAAAGAGACGACUCGACACCAUGAGCUCCCUCGUGACACCCAGCCUGGUGAGGUGCCACCCACACCCCCGGGACAUCCACCCUGGUGAGGUGCUACCCACACCACGUGACACCCACCCUGGUGAGGUGCCACCCAGACCCCCGUGACACCCACCCUGGUGAGGUGCCACCCACACCCCGUGACACUCAGCCUGGUGAGG